rnacentral:lncRNA from 1 species
CAUCGAUGAUAAUGUAUAAUUACUAUUUUGCCCCUAUAAUAAAAUAAGUAGCCUGUUCAUGAAUUUCCAUGUUCAGUUCUUAUCUUUUGUACCUACUGUGAGGCUUCUGAUGGAAUGCUGUCUGUUGGCUUCGUUGUUCAUUUAUAUAACAUUGACUAAUCAGGGUAUUCAUGUUCACAGGAUAUUGGGUGAUUCUUAAGGCUGACUUGGCUUGAAGGUGUUCAAGUCAAGUGCCGCACGGUUCCUGGCGAUUGCUAAAAUCUGAAACCGUG